rnacentral:sRNA from 1 species
AUUGAGUAAACUCUUCAUGCUAUAUACAUCAUUUUCAUUAUGUUAAAGAUCUGAGAGGGAAAGUUCCAAAGAAUAGGAGUGGCUGAUUUAGCUACAGAGUUCAUUUGGGGCCGGGAAGCAGAGAGGAAGACAAUGAUAAUUAUGAUGAAGAACACGUUUUUGAUGUCAGAAAGCACAACACUUCCCAUUAUGUACAGCACGUGAGCCUCACACCUGCUCUGCAGUGGAGGAGUAGAUAGUUUACAGACCCCUGAGCCCCUUCCAGUGCUGCCUGAGGUGCCCUCUACCUGUGCCUGCCUCUCUUGUCUGCCAGUUUGAUUUGGACCUGUUUUUCCCACCUCAACCCCCAUGCUCUUGUCAAACAUGUGUUUGGCCUCUAGCCAAACAGGGCCUGGGAGGAAAAGAGAGUCCUACUUCUGCCUGGCUUCCCCAUCGGGGAGGGGAGUUGAAGUGACAGCCUCCUGACGGCUUAGAAAUGUGGAGGACGCAGCAUGUUCUGGACAUGGCCGACCAUAUGAAUGAUAUCUUCUCUUUCUUUGAACCAUCUCCACCUGCUCAUAUGGACACCCCGCCUUGGGGCAGGGCAAGGGAUAGGCACAACUUGGAAGAUUUUGGCUUUGUGAUCCUCAGUGUCCAGUGUCACCCAGAUGGGCUGGAAGCUGCCUUUGAAGCCAACGAAUGCCAUUUGCUCUGAAAAGCAACGAUGAGUCUCCUGAGCAAAAACCCUAUGAGAGGACGGCUGUCCCUCCCUGUUCCACGGCUCCCCAUCGCCAGCCCCCCACACCCACCAGGUACCCCCUAGCCACACUGCACUGUGGCCCCUUGGGAAGAGCUCUGUGCUUCAGCUACUGAUGGUGCCUGACAUGUGUUUGUAUGGGGCAGGCAGGGGCUCACCUGAGCCUCACUGCCACCUAGGCAGGGUGAUGGCUUUGCUGUAGACAGGGGAGCCAUGCACAGCAGGAAAUGGAGCAAACUGUAAGGGAGGA